rnacentral:tRNA from 1 species
AGCCCCGUGGUGUAUAACAUUUCAGAUUGCAAAUCUGAAGAAGCAGACUAAUUUCCUGCCGGGGCUU